AUUGAACGCUGGCGGCAUGCCUUACACAUGCAAGUCGAACGGCAGCGCGGGGCAACCUGGCGGCGAGUGGCGAACGGGUGAGUAACAUAUCGGAACAUACCCUAGAGUGGGGGAUAACGUAGCGAAAGUUACGCUAAUACCGCAUACGCACUAAGGUGGAAAGUGGGGGGAUCUUCGGACCGUCAUGCUCAUGGAGUGGCCGAUAUCUGAUUAGCUAGUUGGUGAGGUAAAGGCGUCACCAAGGCGACGAUCAGUAGCUGGUUUGAGAGAACGACCAGCCACACUGGAACUGAGACACGGUCCAGACUCCUACGGGAGGCAGCAGUGGGGAAUUUUGGACAAUGGGGGCAACCUGAUCCAGCAAUGCCGCGUGAGUGAAGAAGGCCUUCGGUUGGUUAAA
rnacentral:rRNA from 1 species